AGUGAACGCUGGCGGUAGGCCUAGCACAUGCAAGUCGAACGGCAGCACAGUAAGAGCUUGCUCUUACGGGUGGCGAGUGGCGGACGGGUGAGGAAUACAUCGGAAUCUACUUUUUCGUGGGGGAUAACGUAGGGAAACUUACGCUAAUACCGCAUACGACCUACGGGUGAAAGCAGGGGAACUUCGGACCUUGCGCGAAUGAAUGAGCCGAUGUCGGGUUAGCUAGUUGGCGGGGUAAAGGCCCACCAAGGCGACGAUCCGUAGCUGGUCUGAGAGGAUGAUCAGCCACACUGGAACUGAGACACGGUCCAGACUCCUACGGGAGGCAGCAGUGGGGAAUAUUGGACAAUGGGCGCAAGCCUGAUCCAGCCAUACCGCGUGGGUGAAGAAGGCCUUCGGGUUGUAAAGCCCUUUUGUUGGGAAAGAAAAGCAGCAGGUUAAUACCCCGCUGUUCUGACGGUACCCAAAGAAUAAGCACCGGCUAACUUCGUG
rnacentral:rRNA from 1 species